AAACUGUACACACAAGUUGGUUUUGGUGGGUCGCAUUAGUUUAUUACUCUGUAUAAAUGAUAAAAGCUGCAAUUACUUGAGAGCUAUUAUUUUUGUUAGUAAUAACCGUAAUUACGGAGAGUUACUUUAGCUUAUUUUUAUGACCAUGCUAAAAUUAAUUAUUUAUUUGGACAAUUUGAAGCCUUAUUUGAUUGUUUAUUUUAUUUUUCAAGUUGUGAGUCAUCAAGUGAUAAAUUUAACGGUGACAGUAUGAUAAAUUUUAUUGCCACAACCUUGUAAGAUUUUUAAUAUUUAUCAUUCUUUAGUUUUAUUCUUAUGUAUAGAGUAUUUAAUAUCUUUUUGGAAAAUUCCUAUGAAAAAAUAAGAGUCUGAAUGCUGAACUGUUUUUGUAAAAAUUUCAGCGCGUCGAUAAACUCGUGCUAAAUACUUAUAUAUGAUAAUAACAAUGAGAACAUAAAAGUCAAGGCUGUCAUGGCGGCAAUAAGUAUAUAUUUAUUGUAAGAAACUUUGAUGACUCACUUCUAUGGAAAAUUUUGCUAAUAACCAAUUUUUUAAAAAUGUCGAGGCUAUUUUUGUUGGUUCUUAUUUUCGGAAUACUAACUUUUGAUCCAAUAAAUGCAGAUUGUGCAAGAAUCCGCCAGUGGUGCCACCCAGCAGCAGGCUACAAAUGCUGUGAUGAGGCUGGUCACGCACCUCUUUGUUGUACUAAUGUAUUAAGACAAGGAACUUGUCAGCCUGACUAUUCUAUAACUAUGAGAACAUUUGGUAAAUGUCCAAUAGGAACUGGAUGAUUGUAAGAUGCAUCAAGCCGAAUUUCUGUAAAAAAAAAAUAAACAAUUUUCAUUCGGUUCUAUAA